GACGAACGCUGGCGGCGUGCCUAAUACAUGCAAGUAGAACGCUGAAGGAGGAGCUUGCUUCUCUGGAUGAGUUGCGAACGGGUGAGUAACGCGUAGGUAACCUGCCUUGUAGCGGGGGAUAACUAUUGGAAACGAUAGCUAAUACCGCAUAAUAGCAGUUGUUGCAUGAUAACUGUUUGAAAGGUGCAAUUGCACCACUACCAGAUGGACCUGCGUUGUAUUAGCUAGUUGGUGGGGUAACGGCUCACCAAGGCGACGAUACAUAGCCGACCUGAGAGGGUGAUCGGCCACACUGGGACUGAGACACGGCCCAGACUCCCACGGGAGGCAGCAGGAGGGAAUCUUCGGCAAUGGACGGAAGUCUGACCGAGCAACGACGCGUGAGGGAAGAAGGUUUUCGGAUCGUAAAGCUCGGUUGUAAGAGAAGAAAGAGUGUGAGAGUGGAAAGUUCACACUGUGACGGUAUCUUAACAGAAAGGGACGGCUAACUACGUG
rnacentral:rRNA from 1 species